UGAAAAGCUAUGAACGGAAAGAGUAGCUGAUUCUGAGAUUGCAGAGAGGGACCGCCACCGGCUGAAAGUGGUCUUAAAGGAAGAAUCUGUGAAGUGCGUCCGGGAGCUGAUUCUGUGAACACGGUAGAUCGCUGUGAGUAGCAGAAUACGUUUGGCAUACGUUACAUGCAUCGAGUGAAAGAAGAGAUUCUUUUAGUAGAGUGGAACCGCGGAUAUGACUUCGUCUCUAAC
rnacentral:ncRNA from 1 species